UUUGAUUAUGGAUCCAAUUUCGAAUCCAGUGAUUGCGAAAAAACAAUCAUAUGAUGUAGUACUUUCAAAGGGGGAACACCCGUGCGAUGCACGACAUGCAUAAUAGUUAUUGUUUUUUCCUGGAACGACGACUGAUAUAGAUAGUGCGUGACACGGUACGAAAGUGCGAAUAUAGUAUAGAUUUUUAAAACAAAAACCGGUUUUUUUUUAAAGUUAGCCGUUUGACCAUGGUUAUUUUGACCAAAGUCCACUCCUCGUUCGGCGCUUUGUGGUAGCACUACCAGUCAAAAAAGGCCCAAAACGCCCGAGGGUACAGUGUUCCCCCGCGUUUUUAAGACGCUUUGAGAGAGGUUUGCGCCCCACCACAUGUGGUCUCACAAAACUUCAAUUCUAUGGACGUGUGGUUUCUCAACCCUCUUCAAAAGACGUCACAGUUUUCAAAUUUUUUUAUUUUUAUUUUUUCUUUUUCAUUGUUUUAGAUGGUGUAAAAUAGAUGUUAAAUAUAUAUAUUAUACUACAUACACAUAUACAUAUAAAUUCAGUUUUGACAUCUA
rnacentral:lncRNA from 1 species